GAUGAACGCUGGCGGCGUGCCUAAUACAUGCAAGUCGAGCGAACGGACGAGAAGCUUGCUUCUCUGAUGUUAGCGGCGGACGGGUGAGUAACACGUGGAUAACCUACCUAUAAGACUGGGAUAACUUCGGGAAACCGGAGCUAAUACCGGAUGAUAUUUUGAACCGCAUGGUUCAAAAGUGAAAGACGGUCUUGCUGUCACUUAUAGAUGGAUCCGCGCUGCAUUAGCUAUUUGGUAAGGUAACGGCUUACCAAGGCAACGAUGCAUAGCCGACCUGAGAGGGUGAUCGGCCACACUGGAACUGAGACACGGUCCAGACUCCUACGGGAGGCAGCAGUAGGGAAUCUUCCGCAAUGGGCGAAAGCCUGACGGAGCAACGCCGCGUGAGUGAUGAAGGUCUUCGGAACGUAAAACUCUGUUAUUAGGGAAGAACAUAUGUGUAAGUAACUGUGCACAUCUUGACGGUACCUAAUCAGAAAGCCACGGCUAACUACGUG
rnacentral:rRNA from 1 species